UCUGGCACCUUCGGUGUCCGAGUUGUAAUCUCUAGAAGUGUUUUCCGCGUUGGACCGCACACAAGUCUGUUGGAAUACAGCGGCAUAGUGGUGAAACCCCCGUAUAUGGUGCGGACGCCCAGCGCUUUGUGAUACACUUUCAAUGAGUCGAGUUGUUUGGGAAUGCAGCUCAAAUUGGGUGGUAAAUUCCAUCUAAAGCUAAAUAUUGGCGAGAGACCGAUAGCGAACAAGUACCGUGAGGGAAAGAUGAAAAGCACUUUGGAAAGAGAGUUAACAGUACGUGAAAUUGUUGGAAGGGAAACGCUUGAAGUCAGACUUGCUUGCCGGAGCUUGCUUCGGUUUGCAGGCCAGCAUCAGUUUUCCGGGGUGGAUAAUGACGGUUUGAAGGUAGCAGUCUCGGCUGUGUUAUAGCUUUCCGUUGGAUACAUCCUGGGGGACUGAGGAACGCAGCGUGCUUUUUGCGAAAGACUCGUCUUUUUCACGCUUAGGAUGCUGGUGGAAUGGCUUUAAACGACCCGUCUUGAAACACGGACCAAGGAGUCUAACAUGCUCGCGAGUAUUUGGGUGUCAAACCCGGAUGCGCAAUGAAAGUGAAUGUAGGUGGGAACCGCAAGGUGCACCAUCGACCGAUCUGGAUUUUUUAAGAUGGAUUUGAGUAAGAGCGCGUAUGUUGGGACCCGAAAGAUGGUGAACUAUGCCUGAAUAGGGCGAAGCCAGAGGAAACUCUGGUGGAGGCUCGUAGCGGUUCUGACGUGCAAAUCGAUCGUCAAAUUUGGGUAUAGGGGCGAAAGACUAAUCGAACCAUCUAGUAGCUGGUUCCUGCCGAAGUUUCCCUCAGGAUAGCAGAAACUCACAUCAGUUCUAUGAGGUAAAGCGAAUGAUUAGAGGCCUUGGGGUUGAAACAACCUUAACCUAUUCUCAAAC
rnacentral:rRNA from 1 species